rnacentral:rRNA from 1 species
CUACGGGUCGCUCCAGUAGGGAAUAUUGCACAAUGGGCGAAAGCCUGAUGCAGCAACGCCGCGUGAGUGAUGAAGGCCCUCGGGUCGUAAAACUCUUUUCAAGAGGAAGAGGAAGGACGGUACUCUUGGAAUAAGCCUCGGCUAACUACGUGCCAGCAGCCGCGGUAACACGUAGGAGGCGAGCGUUAUUCGGAUUUACUGGGCGUAAAGCGCGUGUAGGCGGCUCUAUAAGUUGGAUGUGAAAGCUCCCGGCUUAACUGGGAGAGGACGUUCAAAACUAUAGAGCUUGAGUACGAGAGAGGAAAAUGGAAUUCCGGGUGUAGUGGUGAAAUGCGUAGAUAUCCGGAGGAACACCAGUGGCGAAGGCGAUUUUCUGGCUCGAGACUGACGCUCAGACGCGAAAGCUAGGGUAGCAAACGGGAUUAGAUACCCGUGUAGUC